rnacentral:rRNA from 1 species
GUGGGGAAUAUUGGACAAUGGGCGAAAGCCUGAUCCAGCAAUGCCGCGUGAGUGAUGAAGGCCCUAGGGUUGUAAAGCUCUUUCACCGGUGAAGAUAAUGACGGUAACCGGAGAAGAAGCCCCGGCUAACUUCGUGCCAGCAGCCGCGGUAAUACGAAGGGGGCUAGCGUUGUUCGGAAUUACUGGGCGUAAAGCGCACGUAGGCGGGUAUUUAAGUCAGGGGUGAAAUCCCGGAGCUCAACUCCGGAACUGCCUUUGAUACUGGGUACCUAGAGUAUGGAAGAGGUAAGUGGAAUUCCGAGUGUAGAGGUGAAAUUCGUAGAUAUUCGGAGGAACACCAGUGGCGAAGGCGGCUUACUGGUCCAUUACUGACGCUGAGGUGCGAAAGCGUGGGGAGCAAACAGGAUUAGAUACCCCAGUAGUCC